rnacentral:lncRNA from 1 species
AUGACUUUAUAGCCUUUUCUUCAUUAGGGUUUCUUUUAGAGAAAAGAUGAGAACACAAGCUCCCUUUUCCCUCUAACAGGCCGGCCACCCUAGAGGAUUUUAGCUAGCAAUCUUACUUCCUCUAGGUCACUCAUCUCUUAUUCAAGUCCUACCUUGGUGUGGAGACUUAGAGGUUCUCAACUUUGGGAACUUGGAGAAUCCUUUCAACCAUCCUCAUCCAAGAAAUCCAUGGAGCUAAGAAGCAAGGGAUGAAGGCCCUCUCCUUGGGUGAUUAACCUUUGCGUAUGCAAAGAGGAAUAAACAAAGGUAUAAAAUUUCUCAACUCACUUUGUUCUUGAGUUGAUUCUUGGUUCACAUAACUACUAGGCUUUGAAUUUCAUGGGUAAUGUUUUGUUUUGAGUAAUUGUUACUAGCUUUAUUCUUGCUUCUUUGAAUGUAAAUUUUGUUAGAAAAUUUGCCAUCUCAAAUGUUGUAGAUGUAGUUCAUAUGAGCAUGAAUUUUGGAGCUAAAAUUUGGUGCCAUGUUUUUCGGGAAAUUCGGCCAAAUCCAAAGGGUGGAUUUUUGGGUUCAUGUUUGUCUUGUUAAAAGUGUUUUAAAGUGACAUGAGGAACCCCUAAGUACCCCAGUAUGGUAAUAUGUUUUUUCCCUUAAGUUUGAGAGUUUUUUGGGUGUCUGUGAGUGAAAAAUGUUCAUGGAGCUCUUAUGGGUUUUCAUGGAUGUUCUUCACUGUUCUUGUUAUGUUUUUGGCAAGAACAAAAAGGUUGGGUAUUUUGAUUCAAAGUGUUUGAUGUUUUUCAUAAAGUUUUGUAUAUGGUGGUUGGUGUGACUUUAAUGUAAUAAAUGGUAUGACAUGAUUUGUCCUUUGUCAAUCAACACCAUACCAAUCACUUACACUUUUUCCUUGUUUCAAGGAACCAUGUUUUAUGGAAAUCACUUUUUCAAACCUACCCAUCACCUUUCACUUUUGUUGAAAAAUUCAAAAGUUUUAUGACACCAUAUCUCAUCCAAAACCAGCCACCCUAUUAAAUAGGGUACUUUUGGGGCUUUUAUGCAAUUACAUAAAGUUUUGAUACUUUUGUGACACAUCCCGAUCCUAGAAUCAAGGCGUGCUGGCCAUCACGUGAGUGUGACGUAACCAAAAGUGCGACGCGGAGGCAAUAGAUAAGAGAAAUAUGAAGAAAUAAAAACCAAAUACUAGCAAUAAUAUCCAACUGGCAUGCUAGAGUGAGUUUAAGUGUGAAACACACAUAUUCAGAGCAUAAGUACUAGGUGCAGUCAAGUAGGACCAUAACUAAAUUACAACACCCGAAGUUGAGUCCUACAUUUAUGUAGUCUGUCAGUAUGCCGGUGGAAUCCUCGUGGGCCACCAACGCUGCUAACUAGAACCUGGAGGGGCGCAAAACAAAAUUGAGUGGGUCAGUAAAACAAAGCUUUCGAAAACAUUUCAUUUAAUAACAUUUCUAACCCCUCGCCGUAAAACAUGUAUACUUUCCCAGAAAAUAACAUAAUAUGCAUAUAAAUCUUCAUAUAUCUCAAAUCACGAAUCUUUACCAAAAACUAGAAAGUAUGCCAUGCUAUAAGCGUCAAUAACAGAAUAAGGAUGCAACAUUGUAAUAGGUGAAAUAAGGAAUCAACCGGAGACCCUGUAGUUGG